rnacentral:rRNA from 1 species
CGCGAAAACCUUACCCACCUUUGACAUGUACGGAAUUCCGCAGAGAUGUGGAAGUGCUCGAAAGAGAACCGUAACACAGGUGCUGCAUGGCUGUCGUCAGCUCGUGUCGUGAGAUGUUGGGUUAAGUCCCGCAACGAGCGCAACCCUUGUCAUUAGUUGCUACGAAAGGGCACUCUAAUGAGACUGCCGGUGACAAACCGGAGGAAGGUGGGGAUGACGUCAAGUCCUCAUGGCCCUUAUAGGUGGGGCUACACACGUCAUACAAUAGGCCGGUACAAAGGGCUGCCAACCCGCGAGGGGGAGCCAAUCCCAUAAAACCGGUCGUAUCCGGAUCGCAGUCUGCAACUCGACUGCGUGAAUCGGAAUCGCUAGUAAUCGUGGAUCGAAUGUCACGGUGAUACGUUCCCGGG